CGGCGAGAAGUAGUGGAGUUUAGGGCUCGUUUCCUGCACUUCCCCAGGAGGCUGGAGCCAGGAUACAGCCUGAAGGACAAAGCUGUUGAGUUCUAGAAAGAGAUAACUCAAAUUCCCUGCUCUCAAGUGAUUCCUAGUCUGGUGGCGAAAACAUGAAUGCACAUAGCUAACCAUACUGAAAUGUGGUGACUGAGGACUGGCUUCACCAGAGAAGGUCUUUUUUCUUAAAGCAGGAUAGAAAAUACUCUCAAUAUUAUGAGCCCAAUUGAAAGGUGGAAGAACAGGAAUUGGGAAAACACCAGUAUGGGAUUUUCAUGAAUUUACAGUUAACAGAAGCCAAUGAUCCACAAUAAUUUGUUUUGGAUUGAGACGCAAGAAAGCACAUGGGACUUGGCAUCAGAAGACAAAGAUUCUUCUUCCAGGAAUAAUACAAUUGUGUGUUGCUUUUGGCAUGACAUUUAAUCUCCUCCUUUACAUCUUCUUUCAGAUAUAAAAUCUGGGGGCAAUCUAUAAGAUCUUUUCCAAUUAUAUAAUUGUGAAUUUUGUGAUCACUUUUAUGUUGGUAUUUGAAGACAAAAGAUAGUCUUUGUCACUGUGCUUGUUUUUCAAUUUUUCAGUUUUCUUUAAAAUAGUUAAAUAAUUUUGGGGGUUAUAGAACAGCUGAAUAUAAAAUGAGAUGAAAUUACAAACUUCUAACUUAAUAUCAAAUAUCCCUUCCUCCAGCUGUUUCUAUGUACAGGAUUUUUUUUUUUUCUGACUGCUAAGAGUACAAUAGCAAGUAUAUGCUAGCACAAUAUAGAGUUUUUAGGCACAAUUAAUUUUGCAUAAGAAAUGAAGUUGUAUAAAUUAUUUUUCAUUAUAUAAAUAUGUUUAUAUGUCCAUUAGUUUUUAUCUCUUAGAGAAUGAGAGAGAGAGUUAUUUCUCAUCUGGCAGAUUGUAGUAAGUCUGCCAGCCUACUUGACACAUAUGAACCACAGUUUGUGAUAAGUCAUUUUCAGUUAAUUGCUAAUUUACCUCUAAAUUAUUUAGUAGUUUUGAUUUUGUAACACCUAGAGGCAAUCAUCUGCACUAGAAACUAAUGGUGUGGAAAAACUUCGAUUUUAGUAAGUCAUUUGUUCUUAGAAGUUCAGUAAUAAAAAUUUUAUAUAAAUUUUAGGGAAGAGGGAAAUAUUUAAGAAGUACUUAGAAGGAGAUCCUAUCGUGGCUCAGUGGAAAUGAAUCUGACCAGCAUCCAUGGGGACGCAGGUUUGAUCCCUGGCCUUGCUCAGUGGGUUAAGGAUCUGGUGUUGCCAUGAGCUGUGGUGUAGGUUGCAGAUGCAGCUCGGAUUUGGCAUUGCUGUGGCUGUGGUGUAGGCCAGUAGCUACAACUCUGAUUCAACCCCUAGCCUGUGAACCUCCAUAGGCCAUGCAUGUGGCCCUAAAAAUUAAAAAAAAAAGUACUUAGGAAAUCUGAGUAUAGAAUUUGCUGAAUGCAAAUUCUGGAAGAAACUUGUUUGGGCUUUAUCUCUAAGUUUUCUACCAAUUAAUGGAAACAGUAUUUGAAAAAAGGGAGACAAAAACCCAGGAGAGUUAUUAGAAAACUAGAAAAAUUGGCAUAUACACAAUUUAAGUGAAAUAAAUGCUAUAAUCAACUGCCUCCUAGUAAGCUUAGUAUAGAUUUUUUAAGAAUGACCUUUAUAGAGAUAGAGAUUAACUUCCAGAUAAAAUUAUGGGGUCCAAAUUUGUAACUUACUAUGUGUAUCUAUUAUAAGAGCGAAUAAUAAGGGUGCAUACUAUGUGGCAGGCUCUGUACUUAUUACUUUAUAAGUAAACUCAUUUAAACCUCACACAAACUUGUGAAGUAGAUACUAUUACUUUCCUCAUUUAAUAGAAGAAGAAAUUGAGGCAUAGAGAGGCCAUUUGCCAGAGCUCACAAUCCUACCUUCAGUCAACUUUAUGCUUGUAUGCAGUAUGCAAAUAUGCAACCAUUAGGAAAAUCAUGCUAAAUCUUAAUGAUCUAUAAAUGUGCCGUGGAUCAAAACACUUAGAGCAAGUGUGAAAAUAAUACAUUACUGGAAGAAAAAAGAAUUAUAACCUAAUGCUUUGUCUAAGAGCAAACACUGCAAAAUUGGAGGUGUAUGGUCAGUCUUCUAAAAAUGUUUACUUUUAUCUCCUUGUAUUGUUCCUGAGUGGUUUAAUUCACAGCUUGGUUUAGAGAGUCAAGUAAGAUAACGGACAUGGGAUCAUAUCACCUCUGUUUACUCCCUACAUAACACUGUCUUAUAUACCUAGAACAAUUUUUAAAAUAUUGUAUUUUUGCAUGCCCCUCACAUGUCCCUAAUGUUAUAAAUUCAUUAUAAUCUAUUUGCAGAUAUUCUUCUCAUCCAAAGUUCAUAUUAAUUCAUUGAUUCAACUACUAAGUGUUUAUUGAACUACUGUCAUUAUCAGAUGCUCUUAGAUAAAUAAGAGUAAAAUCAUGAACAAAAUCCAGUGACCAUCUUUAGGAGACAUGUUUAAGUAACUAGGUAUUUAUCAUCUAAUAUUAACAUAUAUCAGAAAGAAAAGAGAGUUAACUAAGUUUUGUAAGCAGGAAAAUGAGAUGCAUUUUAGAAAAAAUUACUCUUUCCACAAUAUGGAGGAUGAAUUGUGCUGGAGGCAGUGAUGGAGAUACAGAAGCCAAGGGGUGGACUGUUUUAGUUAAUUAUAGGAGCAAAGUAUUGGUGACUAUGACAAGACCAAUGGCAGAGGGGAUACAUACGUUUUUUAGAACUUCAUGAGACCCCUAACCAUUAGGAUUUGAAAAGCAACUGAUAUAGCGGAAAAAAAUAUAUUCCUGUUUUAUGGGAUGGGCAAAUGGUAGAGUGACAGAGGUCAGAAUUUUCCUACUACAGUUUUUUGCAUUUUGAGUUCGAGGUAAUUGUGGGACAUCCAAGCAUACAAGUUUAUAAUAUAUAUUGGUUCUUAUGAAACAAUGAAAGGAGAGGGGUCAGAGUAAAAGGAUACAAUGACCUUCUGUAUACAAUACAAUGCUAGGACACUAAGAAAUACCAGCCUAUAAGAAAUUGGCGAAAAAGCCCUCAAAGUAAAUUGAAGAGCAUCCAAAGAAAGUGAAAAAAAAAAAAAA
rnacentral:lncRNA from 9 species